UACGGAGGGGGCUAGCGUUGUUCGGAAUUACUGGGCGUAAAGCGCACGUAGGCGGACUGUUAAGUCGGGGGUGAAAUCCUGGGGCUCAACCUCAGAAUUGCCUCCGAUACUGGCAGUCUCGAGUGCGGGAGAGGUGAGUGGAAUUCCCAGUAUAGAGGUGAAAUUCGUAGAUAUUGGGAAGAACACCAGUGGCGAAGGCGGCUCACUGGCCCGUAACUGACGCUGAGGUGCGAA
rnacentral:rRNA from 1 species